ensembl:snRNA U6 U6 spliceosomal RNA
AUACUUGCUUUGGCAGUACAUACACUAAAAAAUGAAAUGAUACAGAGAAUGGUAGCAUGGCUUUUGUGCCAGAUGGCAUGAAACUUUUAUAAGGCAUUCCAUAUUUUU